UAAAGAUUCAUCGCUGAUAGAUAGGCAUGCGUUCCAUUAGGCAGUUGGCGGGGUAACGGCCCACCAAACCGACGAUGGAUAGGGGUUCUGAGAGGAAGGUCCCCCACAUUGGUACUGAGACACGGACCAAACUCCUACGGGAGGCAGCAGUGAGGGAUAUUGGUCAAUGGGCGUAAGCCUGAACCAGCCAAGUCGCGUGAGGGAUGAAGGUUCUAUGGAUCGUAAACCUCUUUUAUAAGGGAAUAAAGUGUGGGACGUGUCCUAUUUUGUAUGUACCUUAUGAAUAAGGAUCGGCUAACUCCGUGCCAGCAGCCGCGGUAAUACGGAGGAUCCGAGCGUUAUCCGGAUUUAUUGGGUUUAAAGGGUGCGUAGGCGGCCUUUUAAGUCAGCGGUGAAAGUCUGUGGCUCAACCAUAGAAUUGCCGUUGAAACUGGGGGGCUUGAGUAUGUUUGAGGCAGGCGGAAUGCGUGGUGUAGCGGUGAAAUGCUUAGAUAUCACGCAGAACCCCGAUUGCGAAGGCAGCCUGCCAAGCCAUGACUGACGCUGAUGCACGAAAGCGUGGGGAUCAAACAGGAUUAGAUACCCUGGUAGUCCACGCAGUAAACGAUGAUCACUAGCUGUUUGCGAUACAGUGUAA
rnacentral:rRNA from 1 species